AUGAGCUUCGCACGCCGGCCAAUCACUCCCAUCGAGAUCUUGCGUAACUGCCGCGGCAAGGAGGUCUCCAUCGAACUUGCGGACGGCGAGACGGUGAACGGCACCGUCAUGCGCACGGAUCGUGCCAUGAACGUGGUAAUCAAGCAGUGCACUCGCACUGGCGCUGACGGCGAGUCGUUUUGGAAGUCGCGUGAGUGCUUUAUCCGUGGCGCCAGCGUCAAAAACGUGCGUAUGACGGACAGUGCACUUGUCGCCGUGCCGGCGCCAUCGAAACGCAAGGCGGCGGGCGGCAAAGGCACCGAUACCCACAAGGAGAAGUCGGUAGGAGGUGGCAAGCGGCCACGGAAGUAG
rnacentral:misc_RNA from 1 species